rnacentral:rRNA from 1 species
CACGUAGGCGGCUUGGUAAGCCAGAUGUGAAAGCCCGGGGCUUAACCCCGGAAGUGCAUUUGAUACUGUCAGGCUUGAGUAUGGGAGAGGGAAGUGGAAUUCCUGGUGUAGAGGUGAAAUUCGUAGAUAUCAGGAGGAACACCGGUGGCGAAGGCGACUUCCUGGACCAAUACUGACGCUGAGGUGCGAAGGCGUGGGUAGCAAACA